GAAGGAGAGGUCAGCCGGCAGCCGCCUCCUCCCGCUCCCACCCCGGCAGGGCCUCCCCCAGCCUCGGAGAAGGCGGCGUGAAACCAACUCCGCUAAACUCACGCUUUUUAGAGCGGGCCUGAUGGCGCUUGCGAGGAUGCGAUUUCUUCAUGACCCUAAAUUUGUCAUUUCACAACCAAAAGAUUGUUUUCCUGGCUGUUUAACUUUCUGCUUGAUACCCUUUCUUGGAGCAUGGCUACUUGGAAACAGCUUAAUUUGAAGUGAACCUGCACUGUUCAGAUACUGUAGGAGAAGAUAAGGACACAGACACUGGGGAACAGCCAAUGUUCAAGCUUUGACAGCUGUGCUUGAAACCUUAACUGUGCUUAACUGUACCUGCAGCACACUUCUGUUUAAUCACCUCUGAGAAAAUGGGUUCUAUUUGCUUC